UUCCCAUUCCGACAUGUCAGUUCAUGGCCUCCUCUAGUGUCGUGAUGAGGCCACACUCAGGUUAGAGGAACAACACCUGAUAUUCCAUCUGGGUAGCCUCCAACCUGAUGGCAUAAACAUCGAUUUCUCAAACAUCUGGGACCAUGAGUGAACAGCAGAAAACCAUGGAUGAGCUGGACCCUGAUCUAUAAAUAGCAAAGAUUCACCAGGCUGAAUUUUGAAUUUUGGAAGGGUAUGAUAAAAUGGCUUCACAGUCUACCUCGUUGUGACCUUGCACUUUAUUGUUUACCUGCACUGCACUUUUUUCAGGAGCUUUUAUAUUCUGCAUUGUUAUUUUUUCACCUUAUUCAAACUUAAUCAACAGUAUGUUUGAUCAAUAUGAACAGCAAACAAGAUUAACUUUUCACUGUAUCUCAGUGCAUGUGACUAUAAUAAAUAUGUAUCUCAAGCUGUAUUUUGUCCUAGAAGAACAUGCACAAAAUGCUGGAAGAACUCAGCAGGUCAGCAUCUAUGGAAAUGAAUAAACAGUUGACAUUUUGGGCCAA